GUAGGAGAAGGUCACAAUCAGUAUGGUCGGACAAGACAAGCAUGCGAGACAUACUUUGCAAGCAUGUCUGUCAGGGUUCGAUUCAGACGCUCCGUAAGACCAUUAGU
rnacentral:lncRNA from 1 species